GGGCUUGUGGUUUAGUGGUAUAAUACCCGCUUAGCAUUCCGAAGUAAAUGUGACAUGCGGGUGGUCCGGGGUUCGAUUCCCCGCGAGUCCA